rnacentral:rRNA from 1 species
AUGGCACUCCAGGAGUUUCAGAUUAACCCACCAAGCCAGAAGUUUGACCAGUUUAACUGGGUUAUGAUCUGGGCUUCUGCUGUCCCGGUACACCAUAUUAUUCAUAUGUUGGAAGUUGAUUUCUUCACCAAGUGGCAGCUGGUUUUGUACCAUUGGUUGAGCUCGCCAAAUCCUGAUUUCAAUGAGAUAAUGAAUUGGUACAAGGGUUGGAGGGGCCUUUUCCCACCAGAGUUACUUGCCAAUGAACGCAUACGGAUGCUUCUAACGGUUGGUCUUGAGAUGAUGAACCAAGAUGCUGAAGGACAUGAGUUGGUGCAUCCAGGAGCUAGGGAGAAUGUUGGCUUAUUGACAGAGAAGCAGCAAUAUGAUGCAACACAACAAGCAUCGCAGUACCCACCUUACCAUGUUGUACCAGGAGCAGCCAUGGGAGAUAUGAGCUUCAAGGAUUCUAUUCAGGCACAUGCGGCUGACCAAGGUUUGUUGUUUAUGCCUAGAGUUAACAAAUUCUAUAACGGCAGGCCAGUGUACGAAUUUGGCACCGUGAGCAUUUGCGUAGACUUUGUCAAGCGACCACUCUAUACGCAACUUCAAGAGGGAACUGGAAGAGUUCUAUGUCUCUUACACCACUACUGGAAAUGA